GACGAACGCUGGCGGCGUGCUUAACACAUGCAAGUCGAACGGAAAGGCCCUGCUUGCCGGGUGCUCGAGUGGCGAACGGGUGAGUAACACGUGGGUGAUCUGCCCCUUACUUUGGGAUAAGCCUGGGAAACUGGGUCUAAUACUGGAUAGGACCAUGCUGUAGGUGGUGUGGUGGAAAGAUUAGUUUCGGUAAGGGAUGAGCUCGCGGCCUAUCAGCUUGUUGGUGGGGUAAUGGCCUACCAAGGCGUCGACGGGUAGCCGGCCUGAGAGGGUGGACGGCCACAUUGGGACUGAGAUACGGCCCAGACGCCUACGGGAGGCAGCAGUGGGGAAUAUUGCACAAUGGGCGCAAGCCUGAUGCAGCGACGCCGCGUGGGGGAUGACGGCCUUCGGGUUGUAAACUCCUUGCAGCCAUGACGAAGCCCUUGUGGUGACGGUAGUGGUAGAAGAAGCACCGGCUAACUACGUG
rnacentral:rRNA from 1 species